ACUCAAAGGAAUAGACGGGGGCCCGCACAAGCGGAGGAACAUGUGGUUUAAUUCGAUGAUACGCGAGGAACCUUACCCGGGCUCGAACGGCUGUUGAAUAUUUAUGAAAGUAUAUAGUCGCAAGACAACAGUCGAGGUGCUGCAUGGUUGUCGUCAGCUCGUGCCGUGAGGUGUCGGCUUAAGUGCCAUAACGAGCGCAACCCUUACCGUUAGUUACCAUCAGGCAAAGCUGGGGACUCUGGCGGGACUGCCACCGUAAGGUGCGAGGAAGGCGGGGAUGACGUCAAAUCAGCACGGCCCUUACGUUCGGGGCUACACACGUGUUACAAUGGGGGGGACAAAAGGCAGCUACCCGGCGACGGGAUGCGAAUCUCCAAACCCUCUCCCGGUUCGGAUCGGAGUCUGCAACCCGACUCCGUGAAGCCGGAUUCGCUAGUAAUCGCACAUCAGCCAUGGUGCGGUGAAUACGUUCCCGGGCCUUGCACACACCGCCCGU
rnacentral:rRNA from 1 species